GUCUUUUUGAUAAUAAUUUAAAGUCUAACCUGCCCAAUGAUGAAUUUAAUGGCCGCGGUAUUUUGACCGUGCUAAGGUAGCAUAAUCAAUAGUUUUUUAAUUGAAAGCUGGAAUGAAAGGUUGGAUAAAAAAAUAACUGUCUUUAUUUAAUUUAAUUAGAAUUUUAUUUUUAAGUUAAAAAGCUUAAAUUUAGUUAAAAGACGAGAAGACCCUAUAGAGUUUUAUAAUUAAUAUAAUUUUUAAUUUAAGAAUUUAAUUUAUAAAUUAUAUUAAUUAUUUAAUUGGGGUGAUUGAAAAAUUAAUUUAACUUUUUUUGUAUAAUUACAUUAAUUAAUGAAUUUUUGAUCCAUAUUUAAUGAUUAUAAGAUAAAAUUACCUUAGGGAUAACAGCGUUAUUUUUUUUGAGAGUUCAAAUCGAAAAAAAAGAUUGCGACCUCGAUGUUGGAUUAAAAUUAAUUUUUGGUGUAGGAGCUUAAAAAUUAGGUCUGUUCGACCUUUAAAAUUUUACA
rnacentral:rRNA from 1 species